GGCAGGCUGGAGGGGGUCCAUGUGGGGAAAAGGGAGACAUAUGUAAUACUUUGAACAAUAAAGAAUUUUAUGUAUAUAUGGAAUUUAGUGUUGCUAGAUGCAUGGCUAUGCAAGAAGUGACACCAUGGGAACUAGACUGGGGAAGGAUGGAUCUGUUUGUGCCCUGUGGGGCCAUUCCAUGUUCUGAAGCCUUGGUUAAUUAAAUAAAAACUUUCAUCUUAUUCUGAUAGGGGAAGGAUAGCAAUAAGAAUAGAAUCACAGUUGACUAAUAGCUACACACUGCACUAACUGUAGAGAAGAGAUUUUUUUUUUUUUUUUUUACAGACUCUGGGAAAACUGUGGAGGACAUGUUGUAAGAAAAAUAAAGACAAGCAGCCUUGAAGAUAGUCCAAUCACUCUGAGAGAAAUGCAUUUUGAAAGAAAAUCAUGGACAAGACCUGCCUGAACGGAGAGAGACGUCUGGGGACGAAUCUUUACAAGGACCAGGACAGAAAACAAAUCCUGGGAACUCACGUUAAGUUUUAGAUUCUUUGCCACCCUCUAACCCUGUAUAAUGGCCGGCUUGAAAUGAGAUGGGAGGGUGGCUUUUGGGGGUUGGUGUUAUACCUGCUGCCUUACAUGGGCAGCAUCUGAAUAGAAGCACCUCAGAGAUUCAACUUUGCUUCUAUUUAUUACUCUGGUAGCCACCGACAGCUGAACUUCCAGUUCCCGUUUCAAAUUACUGGACAGCAGUGGGACUCUCAGGUGUUAGCUGUCUGAGAUGCUUGGCUGGUGAAGGAAACAGGUCUCUGAGGAGUGGGGGGACUGACUCCCAAGUCUGACCAGGCAAGUCAAACCGGUGUGCACGCCAGGAGCCCUCUAUCACUGGCCUCUGGGCUUUUCAGCCCUCUGGGGCUUGGCCUGGAGACAGCCCAGUACCCGCUUGGCAAGGGAGUAAGACUGGGACUAAUCCCAGAGCCCCCGUGGGAGGGAGUGCGUUUCUGCCUGAGAGCUCUCCUCUGUGUGAAAGAACACUUUGGUUACAAUUGUUCUUUCCUUGUUUUCUUCUCUUUUGGGGACAUCCUUUGACCGUUGCUGUUUUGUAACUAAUUUGUUUUAACCUUACAUUUUUGUUUCUGUUUCUGUUGUGACACAAGCAGCUGGUCUUCUGUUCCAUCAGGGCCCACGAGGUUGUAUUUUAGCUAACUGGCACAUUUAAGUCAAUGACUAAUUAAAAUUGUUCUGCCACAGGUGACUUAUGUGCAACCUUUCAUGUUGUUAUAUCAUAAGGAUUCUACUUAGAUAGGACCUAAAGGAAUAGUUCAGAGGAAAAGCACUCGGAAACCUCCCCAUACAGUCAGUAAAUCUCAGGAAGAAAAAUAUGGGGAAAUAAAUCUUAUUUUUUUAUUAAAAUUUUUUAAUGUUUACAUAAUUUUGGGUGUCCCCCUUUUCCCUGCCCUUUGCCCACCUCCACUCACUCCACUUCACCCUCCCUUGGCCUUCGCUAAACUAUUGUCUGUGUCCUAUAUAAUAAAGAGCUAAUAUGCUAAUUAGACCAACACCAGAAUGACCGUCCGGACAACCAUCCUGACGACCAUCUGGACAACCUUCUGGAUGAAGCCAGGGCUGCGAGGGCUGAGCCCUUUGCACGAAUUUAGUGUGUAUAUAUAUAUAUAUAUAUAUAUAUAUAUAUAUAUAUUUAAAUUGAUUGGGGUGACAUUGACUAAUAGGACCAUGUAGGUUUCAGGUGUGCAUUUCUAUGUUAUAAGAUCUGUAUAUGGCACUGUGUGCCCACCACCCAAAGUCAAAUCAUCUUCUGUCACCUUAUAUUAUAUCUCCUUCAUCCCCACCUUCCUACCCCCUUCCUCUGGCAGCCCCACACUGCUGUGUGUGUCCUCUAGUUUCAGUUUUAUAUCCCACUGAUGUGUGAAAUCACGUGGUUCUUAGCUUUUUCUGCCUGACUUAUUUCACUUAGCAUGAUAUUCUCAAGGUCCAUCCAUGUUGUCACAGAACUAACUACAGGUAAGAGAUUUAUCUUAUGGGCCCUGGGAAACUAGGGAGGAUGUGUUGUAAGAAGAAAACCAAAGUUGGAAGGAUAAUGUAUCUUCAGAAAGAACAUACUGGUACAUUUUGAAAGCAAAUCAAGGACAGGACCUUCCUAAAGGGAGACAAAUGCCUGCGGUCUAAUCUUUACAAGGACUCUAGAUACCAGCUGGCUUGAGACAAGAUGGGAGAGCUUUUUUGGGGGAUGCAGGGGGCAGGGAUUAUACCUGCCACUCUUUCUUGGAUCACUGGCUUCUGAAUAAAAGCACCUCAAAGAUUCAA